rnacentral:rRNA from 1 species
GUUGAUAAGGUUAAGUGAAUAAGGGCGCACGGUGGAUGCCUUGGCACUAGGAGCCGAUGAAGGACGGGACUAACACCGAUAUGCUUUGGGGAGCUGUAAGUAAGCUAUGAUCCAGAGAUUUCCGAAUGGGGGAACCCAAUAUCUUUUAUAGGAUAUUACUUUUCAGUGAAUACAUAGCUGAUUAGAGGUAGACGCAGAGAACUGAAACAUCUUAGUACCUGCAGGAAGAGAAAGAAAAUUCGAUUCCCUGAGUAGCGGCGAGCGAAACGGGAAGAGCCCAAACCAACAAGCUUGCUUGUUGGGGUUGUAGGACUCCGAUAUGGUAGUCUGUUAGUAUAGUUGAAGGAUUUGGAAAAUUCCGCUAAAGAGGGUGAAAGCCCCGUAGACGAAAUGCUAACAACACCUAGGAGGAUCCUGAGUACGGCGGAACACGAGAAAUUCCGUCGGAAUCCGCGGGGACCAUCCCGCAAGGCUAAAUACUCCCUAGUGACCGAUAGUGAACCAGUACCGUGAGGGAAAGGUGAAAAGCACCCCGGAAGGGGAGUGAAAUAGAUCCUGAAACCGUGUGCCUACAACAAGUCAAAGCUCGUUAAUGAGUGAUGGCGUGCCUUUUGUAGAAUGAACCGGCGAGUUACGAUUGCAUGCGAGGUUAAGUCGAAGAGACGGAGCCGCAGCGAAAGCGAGUCUGAAUAGGGCGAAUGAGUAUGUAGUCGUAGACCCGAAACCAUGUGAUCUACCCAUGUCCAGGUUGAAGGUGCGGUAAAACGCACUGGAGGACCGAACCCACGUACGUUGAAAAGUGCGGGGAUGAGGUGUGGGUAGCGGAGAAAUUCCAAACGAACUUGGAGAUAGCUGGUUCUCUCCGAAAUAGCUUUAGGGCUAGCCUCGGAAUUGAGAAUGAUGGAGGUAGAGCACUGUUUGGACUAGGGGCCCAUCUCGGGUUACCGAAUUCAGAUAAACUCCGAAUGCCAUUCAUUCAUAUCCGGGAGUCAGACUGUGAGUGAUAAGAUCCAUAGUCGAAAGGGAAACAGCCCAGACCACCAGCUAAGGUCCCCAAAUAACUAUUAAGUGGAAAAGGAUGUGGGGUUGCACAGACAACUAGGAUGUUGGCUUAGAAGCAGCCACCAUUUAAAGAGUGCGUAAUAGCUCACUAGUCGAGUGACCCUGCGCCGAAAAUGUACCGGGGCUAAAUAGUUUACCGAAGCUGUGGAGUGCACCAUCAGGUGCAUUGGUAGGAGAGCGUUCUAAGGGCGUUGAAGGCAGAUCGUGAGGACUGCUGGAGCGCUUAGAAGUGAGAAUGCCGGUAUGAGUAGCGAAAGACAGGUGAGAAUCCUGUCCACCGAAUGACUAAGGUUUCCUGGGGAAGGCUCGUCCGCCCAGGGUUAGUCGGGACCUAAGCCGAGGCCGACAGGCGUAGGCGAUGGACAACAGGUUGAUAUUCCUGUACCCGUUGUUUUUGUUUGAGCAAUGGAGGGACGCAGGAGGCUAAGAAGUGCAGACUGAUGGAUAUGUCUGUUCAAGCAGUAAGUCUUGGUAGGAGUCAAAUGCUUCUACCUAUACGGACAAGCUGUGAUGAGGAGGGAAAUAAUAGUACCGAAGCUUCUGAUGUCACACUGCCAAGAAAAGCUUCUAGUGAGAAAACAACGGCCCGUACCGCAAACCGACACAGGUAGUCGAGGAGAGAAUCCUAAGGUGAGCGAGAGAACUCUCGUUAAGGAACUCGGCAAAAUGACCCCGUAACUUCGGGAGAAGGGGUGCUGCUCUAACGAGCAGCCGCAGUGAAUAGGCCCAAGCGACUGUUUAUCAAAAACACAGGUCUCUGCAAAAUCGAAAGAUGACGUAUAGGGGCUGACGCCUGCCCGGUGCUGGAAGGUUAAGAGGAGUGCUUAGCGUAAGCGAAGGUACGAAUUGAAGCCCCAGUAAACGGCGGCCGUAACUAUAACGGUCCUAAGGUAGCGAAAUUCCUU